GACGAACCGUGCGAACGUUAUUCGGAAUCACUGGGCUUAAAGCGCGUGUAGGCGGGAGGGCACGUCCGUCGCUGAAAUCCCCCGGCUCAACCGGGGAACGGGCGCGGAUACGACCUUCCUGGAGGGGCGUAGGGGGACCUGGAACUUCCGGUGGAGCGGUGAAAUGCGUUGAGAUCGGAAGGAACGCCCGUGGCGAAAGCGAGGUCCUGGACGCUUACUGACGCUGAGACGCGAAAGCCAGGGGAGCGAACGGG
rnacentral:rRNA from 1 species